rnacentral:rRNA from 1 species
GACAGAGGGUGCAAACGUUUGUUCGGAAUUACUGGGCGUAAAGCGCGUGUAGGCGGCCAUCUAAGUCGGGCGUGAAAUCCCACGGCUCAACCGUGGAAGUGCACUCGAAACUGGAUGGCUAGAGUCCUGGAGAGGAAAGUGGAAUUCCUGGUGUAGCGGUGAAAUGCGUAGAUAUCAGGAGGAACACCGGUGGUGUAAACGGCUUUCUGGACCAUAAACUGACGCUGAUGCACGAAAAGCGUGGGUAACAAACAGG